rnacentral:misc_RNA from 1 species
UCUCCGUAGGUGAACCUGCGGAGGGAUCACUACAGGCUUGCACAAGCUCUGACACCACUGUUUAUCUACCUGAAUCUGCUUCGGCGGGCCCCCCCAGCGCGGGGCCGUAGCCGCUAGCCGCCCCCCGAAGACCCCUAAACUCCGCCGUCUUCCGAAUCUUUGAGUAAUUCUAUUAAACAAAAACAACUUUCAACAACGGAUCUCUUGGCUCUG